rnacentral:rRNA from 1 species
UACGUAGGGGGCAAGCGUUGUUCGGAAUUACUGGGCGUAAAGGGCGCGUAGGCGGUACGACAAGUCGGGUGUGAAAUCCCGGGGCUCAACCCCGGGACUGCAUUCGAUACUGUCAGGCUAGAGGUAGGUAGGGGAGAUCGGAAUUCCUGGUGUAGCGGUGAAAUGCGCAGAUAUCAGGAGGAACACCGGUGGCGAAGGCGGAUCUCUGGGCCUCACCUGACGCUCAGGCGCGAAAGCUAGGGGAGCGAACAGG